AUGUGUGCCUCUGGUCACCAUAUUGUUUUUAUACUUCCUGUACAAUCUUAUACUCUUGUUUAUCAAUACUAAAUGAUCCUCAAACAUCUAUGACACCUUUUUUGGUGUAGUUGUAAAUAAGCAGGCCUCAGUUUUAUUUUUUCAUUGAUAUGCAUCUGUACUUUUGUAAACUAAAAUAUGUUUGUAUGAUUAGCAAAUCCUUUAAAAGGAUGACUCCAGUCAUUAGUUUCAGAGAUGGGUACCUAGAAGGCUAGAAGCUUGGUAUACUUUGAAGAGUAACAUACUUUCAAGAACAAUUUCUGAACAGACUCUCCUAUGCUCUCUAAUGUGCGCAGUUGCUUCACCUGUACUGUGUGUACAUUUGUUCUCUUCUGCAAUAUCAUGGAGACUAGAAACCACCCAUUUGUACUCGGCAUUACAAUUUUCUUGGGCAGGAGCUGCAUACAAUUUGGUUGAAGUAGCGAGACGGUCCCGUGCUCCUAGCACUAGCACCUUUGUACGUGGAGACUCUUGGAAAAGCUGGCCUAGCUGCUAGACAACCCAUUAUCUCAUAAUGCAGAUAAACUGAAGAUGAGGCAGCCGUGUUUGGCUUCGCGGCCGUUAUUUGACCCCAAUUUCACCGGCAGAUGUUUGUCGACUCAAGAUUCUAGAUGGCUAGCCAUGCUUGGAAGCUAGAGCAUUCCUCCGUUGUCUUGAUGGAGCUGGAAGAGAAGAAGUGGUGACUGGUGAGAGAACCAAAGAAACUCCCAUGUAGGCUCCUCUCUACUUAUAACAAAAACAAUCUGUUGAUGCCCUCGUUUACUUUCUGUAGCCAUGUCUUGAGUAUUGGCGGCAAGAUUUGAUUCCCCUCGUGCAGCAUCACUGGCUGGUGAGGUGUCCAAAACAUUUGGCAUCUCAUCUGAAUUUUAGAAUACGGGUAUAAUGCACAUCGACAUCUUGGAAGGAAGCCAUGUGCUAUGCAGAGUUUUUUUUACUACACACGCGCAUCCAGUUCAGCUAAUCGCUGUGCUAUGUUACAACUUAUUGCAGCAAUAAUAUUCAAAUAGUACAGUGGGAGUUACUUAA